UGUAUUUUUAAUCAUUUUAUAUUUUUAAGAGGGAGAGAGGAAGACAGAUGCAAACAAUCAAUCCUCUUUUGGAACCCAGAACUCAUCCUGCAGUAUGAGUUUUGAUACAUAUAAGAAGGAAUAUG
rnacentral:snoRNA from 1 species